rnacentral:tRNA from 1 species
AGUGUAAUGGUCAGCACACUGAGCCGGAAUUUCAGAGGUCCGUGGUUCGAUUCCCGG